CAGCAGAUAAGAAAGCAAUCACUGAUCUCCAACUGCAUGCAAGAGCAACGUGGAGAGACUUUGACAGCUCAGAUCAGCAAAGUAUCUGCAGCUGCCACUCGCCUUUCCUAUAAAA
rnacentral:snoRNA from 1 species